AUACUUGCUGACGUCUGGCAUUCAUCGUUUACGGUGUGGACUACCAGGGUAUCUAAUCCUGUUUGCUCCCCACACUUUCGCACCUCAGCGUCAGUAUCGAGCCAGUAAGCCGCCUUCGCCACUGGUGUUCCUCCGAAUAUCUACGAAUUUCACCUCUACACUCGGAAUUCCACUUACCUCUCUCGAACUCAAGACUAGCAGUAUUAAAGGCAGUUCCAGGGUUGAGCCCUGGGAUUUCACCUCUAACUUACUAAUCCGCCUACGUGCGCUUUACGCCCAGUAAUUCCGAACAACGCUAACCCCCUCCGUAUUACCGCGGCUGCUGGCACGGAGUUAGCCGGGGUUUCUUUACCAGAUACUGUCAUUAUCAUCUCUGGCGAAAGUGCUUUACGACCCUAAGGCCUUCAUCACACACGCGGCAUGGCUAGAUCAGGGUUUCCCCCAUUGUCUAAGAUUCCCUACUGCUGCCUCCCGUAGGAGUCUGGGCCGUGUCUCAGUCCCAGUGUGGCUGAUCAUCCUCUCAAACCAGCUAUAGAUCGUAGGCUUGGUAGGCCAUUACCCCACCAACUACCUAAUCUAACGCGGGCUAAUCCUUCUCCGAUAAAUCUUUCCCCCGAAGGGCGUAUAAGGUAUUACUCUCAGUUUCCCGAGGCUAUUCCUUAGAGAAGGGCAUAUUCCCACGCGUUACUCACCCGUCCGCCGCUCAUCCCGAAGGAUGCGCUCGACUUGCAUGUAUUAGGCCUGCCGCCAGCGUUCGUUCUGAGCCAGGAUCAAACUCU
rnacentral:rRNA from 1 species